rnacentral:rRNA from 1 species
UGCAGAAUCCCGUGAACCAUCGAGUUUUUGAACGCAAGUUGCGCCCGAAGCCUUUUGGCCGAGGGCACGUCUGCCUGGGCGUCACGCAUCGCGUCGCCCCCCACAAUUCUCCGCAAAGGGAACAUGUGUUUUGGGGGCGGAUAUUGGUCUCCCGUGCUCAUGGCGUGGUUGGCCGAAAUAGGAGUCCUUUUGACGGACGCACGAACUAGUGGUGGUCGUAAAAACCCUCGUCUUUUGUUUCGUGCCGUCAGUCGCAAGGGAAACUCUUGGAAAACCCCAACGUGUCGUCUCUUGACGACGCUUCGACCGCGACCCCAGGUCAGGCGGGACUACCCGCUGAGUUUAA